rnacentral:rRNA from 1 species
UUGGGUUGUAAACCUCUUUUCUCAGGGAAUAAGCAAGUGAAGGUACCUGAGGAAUCAGCAUCGGCUAACUCCGUGCCAGCAGCCGCGGUAAUACGGAGGAUGCAAGCGUUAUCCGGAAUGAUUGGGCGUAAAGCGUCCGUAGGUGGCUGUGUGUGUCUAUUGUUAAAGAGUUUGGCUCAACCAAAUAAAGGCGGUAGAAACUACACAACUGGAGUGCGUUCGGGGCAAAGGGAAUUCCUGGUGUAGCGGUGAAAUGCGUAGAGAUCAGGAAGAACACCGGUGGCGAAAGCGCUCUGC